UCCCGGAACUGAAUGAUUAUGGAGUUUCCUCAUGGGAAGGUGGGUCUCCUCCUGCCUAGCUACCACAUGAUGGGCUCUCUUAAAUAUCAAGUUAAAAUCAUUUCUUUCCCCAUAAUUUUAACAUUACCAAAAUUUGCAUAAGUUUUCAAAUUACAAUUUCUGUAUAUACACAUUCGGUUUGUUAUUUUCUGCAAUCAUAUACCAUGUGGGGUAGUUUCCGAGCGUCGACAGCACGACACGUAUCUGAUGGGUUGCGAACGCCGCAUUUCAUUAAACGUUACCUUUGUGGGCUUUGUCUUCUGAGUUGAGCGUUGGGCUGUGAAGUUCGUUGUUCUGUCGGACCUGACUGAGUGAUGUUCUCGCUAAACCCUAAUACGGCGGAGAAGAAACCAAGAUCAUCUUCCCCCUUCGUGCGGCGGUGACCUGAUGCCGUUUGCGCUUCUUCACAUCAGUCGAAACGGUAUGAAUGAAGGCUUAUUCACUCCCCCACUGCGUCGUCUUCAAUGCUUCUUCGAUCUAAAAGGCGGUGAUUUCUUAGUAUAAAUAUGUGGAGGCUAGCAAGCGAUGGGGCAAGAACGGAGCAAGCGGCAGAGAGCUGAUGGACCAAGUGACGGGCAGAUCAAGAUGGAUAGCCAUGGAACAAUUUACGGAGAGUGUGAAGAGAGAGAUAGCAAAGUCGAUUGCUGCAGUUCAAGCUCUCACAUGGGAAGCAAUAGGCUCUCGGACAUGGAAGCAAUGCAAGAGGAGGGACACGGCCAAAACCUAAAGGCCACAUUGAGCCAACAGUCCGCAGCUCUACAAUAGCUCCAAAUUAAGAUUGCUCAAUUGGAGAAAAGAAAUCAGGCACAGGGUCAACGACCACGGCAAAGAAAAACAAGAUUUGGAGAUGUACCAGGGGCUGUAUAUGUCGAGCCCAAGAAACCAGAUCCUUCAAGGAUCAAUCAAACUCCAACUUCUAAAACCCACAACCAUCAUGUUGUUAAUUCUCGGUUUGAUUAUAACUCUUUUGCUGAUAAAAUUGAACUCUUUAAAUUUUCAGGAAAAAGAGGUUAUCUAAGAUGGGAGAGGAACCUUGAUGAAUAGUUUCACUUCAAAAACAUCCUGAGGAAAGAGAGGCUAGCUUAUGCUAUUGAUCAACUUAGAGAAGAAGCCUUUAAAUGGUGGGUACAAAAAGAAGAUGAUAGGCGGUUUUACAAGGAGCCAACUAUCAAAACGUGGAGAGCUCUUAAGGAAGUCACGAAGGAUAAGUUUGCACCAGAUUUUAAAAGUUCUGAAAUCCAGGAACUAUAUCCAAGGAGGUAUCCAACUCAUGGUUCCAAAGAAGCAAGAAAAUUAGUGGCACAAGAAGGUCAAAGGGUCUUGUCUCAACAAGAUAACUUUCAGCCAAACCAGGGGCACGCCAUUGUCCACUGCUUAGACCAGAAGAGUGACAUCCCAGAGGCCAUGAAGAUGAGUAAAAGUGUCGGCCCAAACACUUUGAUCAGGUCCAGAGAAAAACAAGAGCAUGCUACUAUGCAAGUAAAAGCUAAGGUAAGUCCUAUACUUGAUGAUAUUGUUCAUAAAUCAUCUACCACUUGUUUGAUGCACUUUUCUUUGUCCAAGAGUGUUAUUACAGGUCUAAUGGAGCCUAGGUACAUAGAAGAAGAGACGCCAGGCACAAGCCUUCCCACGGACCAGAAGGAAGCUCAAAGCACAAAGCAACUAAAGUUGCUUAAUAAACCAAAACCAGUGAUCAAAGUAUCAAACCAAGGUAAGUGUUUAACAACACCUUUAGAUACUGGUUUAAACAUUUGUAUUCUUGGUACAUGUAUACCAGAUGGGAGCCAUAUGCUUACUGAAGUUCCAAGGGCCGAACCAGUACAUGAGUUCAAUCAAAAUCCACACCACAAGUGGAAACCAAAAUCUGAACAAUGUAUUGUUCAAGUGCCAAAAUCUGAGGUAAAAUUCACUUUAAAACAGAAUGUUCUUAUUUAUUCUAUGCAAGAUUAAUGCACUUGUCUUGUCCAAAGAAAAGUGAAAUUGGUACAAAAAAUCAAGGUGAGUACAAGGCAAACAAAGAACAAGAAAUUCUUACUGCCGCAUUUGACAUUAAGGUUAAUUCUUCUAUGUUUUCUUCAAUUUAUAAAUCCAUAUACUUUGGUAUAAUACACUUGUCUUUGCCAAAAUGUUUUGAUCCAGGGAUAAGUCAAGAAGGACAUAAAAACCAAGCUGAGCCAUCACAAGAAGAUGGUCAUACCAACCAAGGUAAAAAGUUGCAAGAAAGGCAGUCAUCUAACCAAACUUGUCCAAAGAAGAAUAUCCUUCUUCAUUAUGCUAAAGCAUCCAAGAUAAAUUCGACCAUAACACAUUCUGUUCAUGAAACUCCAGUAUCAGAUAUAAUUCACUUGUCCUUGUCCAGAAUGUUGAGAAUUUUUUAGGUUGCAAAGAAGAAAGCUUCAAAGAAAUCCCACCUGAUAAUCUUUUGUUGCUAGGAGGAUCAACCCCAAAGAUGGUCAGAACUGAGCCUACUAGAAGUAUGAAGGACCAUCCACUGAAGAAGAGAAGCAAUGCCAAAUUCCAUAUCAGAGGGCGUGAUCGUAUCCUAUUUGCUGAAAGAAGAGCCACCUGAUGCACAAUCCCCAAACCGAAACAAUAUCAAUCUCAAAAGAGUAUGAAAGCUGACUUGCUCUAUCUUGGUGCAGUUUAUCCAGUUUCUAGGUCAAAAAAAUUUCAAAGGGGAGGGUAUGAUGCAGCCAUCAAAUCAGUGGUUGAACCAGAGAUCAACCAAGCUCUCCAAACCGGCCACUUUGGAGAUACCAGCGAUAGAGGUUCCGUCCAAAGCGAAUAUCUCAACAACCAGAAGAAAAUCUUCACGGUGGAAGAAGUUAUAAACUUUACAAACUGGAGGUUCCCCAGCCCGUCCAGUUGCGAGUAUCAGCCAUUAGAAGUGGAUUUCAGCUCAACCAUGAAGCAUACUUAUCCAUAAUCAAGCAUGGGCUUCAAUUAUAAUGUCUUAUCUUUCCAGAAAGCCCUAAAUCAAAAGAAUUGGCCAAGGGAAAACCAAGAUGCAAUCAAUUUUCUAAAACCGGCCAAACCGACAUCAAUUUGGGAAAGUUUCCAACCAAUUCAAUUUGGUCCGACCCAAGCCUAUUUAUAGAAACCAGGAGAUACUCUAGACCAUUCAGAAGACACCCAAGACGUCCAUAGAUGCACCAGCACCCAGAGGAUCAGGCGGAUUCUCAUCUACUUUCCAUAUCCGGCCACACCAUAUGCAUUCAAGGAAAGUCUUCACCACUUAAUGAGCAAGGACCAACGGCUCUAUUCCUUUGAACCAGAAGAAACCAAGAUCCUUAGGAGUUUAAUCAGAAGCCAGAUAUUCCUAUUUCGUGGAUAUUUCUCCAUAAUAUCAAGAUACAAGAUCAGUCUUCUCCAAAAGCAACAAAUCAGCCUAACGGCUAGUUUUCAUGGAACCAUCAAAGCCUUUGAGUCCAAGACUUUUAUGUCAAGUUUAUUUCUUUUCUUUUAUCAUUUUAUGACUGUAAGAGUCUGUCUUAGUCGAGCCUAUAAAGCUUUAGUCUUUUUUUCAGUGUAAAUCACUCCAUUUUGAAAGUAAUAAGAAUUAUUCAGUUUUUAUAGUUUUGUCAAAACUAUUGUUCUACGUCUUUUGAGUGUGUGUGAAGCAGCUCCAGAGCAUCUUGGCUUAUCAAACCUCCUUUCCAUAGAGUCUUGUGGCGUCCUCAAUCCCCCAUCCUUCCAUUCCAUUUCGUUUGCCAAGCUUGAGAGUUAUAAACAUCCAACAAGCAAAGCACCAUCUCGAUCCACUUCAAUCAUCAACUGAUUAGGCUGAUAGUGUCACACGACCAACAACCUAAUUUCAUCCUAUCUAUCUUUAUUUAUCUUGUUUUAUCAUAUUAGAAAUUACAUCUCAUUUGUUUUUGCAUUUGUUUUCAGGAUCAUAACUUGCAUUCCAUUCAUAUCACCCAUCCGAUCAUAGAUUUGGUCGAUCCAUCAAGCCUCCAUCUUCCAUCUUGCCCACUCUGUUCUCCAGCCUGCAACAGAUCUGCUUAAAUAAUUUUAGCUAUGAUCAAAACAAGGAAACAAUACACAUAAGUUUGUAUUGUUUAUGCUAUUUUUCUAAAUAUUGUUUAUGCUAUUUUUCUAUUUCAGAAGAAGUGGUCUUGCUUGAUGUUAUUUGAUCUCCAGAUAUUGGCAUCGUUCACGUUUCUUAAAGGUAAUCAAAUAUUUUCCAUACAUGGGCUUUUCACAAGGAAGAACCAAGAGAGACAAUGAGAUGUCAAUGAACCAAAUCUGGAUGCUUUUCCCAUGAAUUAUGACUAUACAUUUCUUCUUCUUUUGAGCUUCUGAGCAUCAAAUAUGUUUACACAAUAACGAUAUGAAUCAUGUAUUUAUGACUAAUGACUUCUGAGGCUUUCGGAUGAUUUGCAAUGAUAUGAUCAGUGACUUUGGUAGACAUACAUUGGGAUUCUGUUAAUAAUUUGUUUGUAUGAAUUAGAGGAUAUAGUUAUGCAACAUUGGAUCCAAAUCAA